AUUGAACGCUGGCGGCAGGCCUAACACAUGCAAGUCGAGCGGAUGAAGGGAGCUUGCUCCUGGAUUCAGCGGCGGACGGGUGAGUAAUGCCUAGGAAUCUGCCUGGUAGUGGGGGAUAACGUCCGGAAACGGGCGCUAAUACCGCAUACGUCCUGAGGGAGAAAGUGGGGGAUCUUCGGACCGCACGCUAUCAGAUGAGCCUAGGUCGGAUUAGCUAGUUGGUGGGGUAAAGGCCUACCAAGGCGACGACCCGUAACUGGUCUGAGAGGAGGAUCAGUCACACUGGACCUGAGACACGGUCCAGACUCCUACGGGAGGCAGCAGUGGGGAAUAUUGGACAAUGGGCGAAAGCCUGAUCCAGCCAUGCCGCGUGUGUGAAGAAGGUCUUCGGAUUGUAAAGCACUUUAAGUUGGGAGGAAGGGCAGUAAGUUAAUACCUUGCUGUUUUGACGUUACCAACAGAAUAAGCACCGGCUAACUUCGUG
rnacentral:rRNA from 1 species